rnacentral:tRNA from 1 species
AAGGGAGACCUAAUUCAGGUAGGAGACGAAAAAAAAGUAGUCGCUACCAAGAAUCAAUCCCAAAAGGUCGGAGCGAGGCGAAAUUGGCUUUCAAGCUAGGUUCUGGGUUCACACAAGACCUGAAUCAGGAACAAGGGCUAUUAGCUCAGGUGGUUAGAGCGCACCCCUGAUAAGGGUGAGGUCCCUGGUUCGAGUCCAGGAUGGCCCACCUGUACAGGUGGCAAAAAGAAAGAAAAGAAGCGAGGAAUCAGCACCUUAUCUUACUGACAUAGUAAGAGAGAAUGCUGGCUCUGAGUAAAGAGUCCAGAGGAACCUUGAAAACUGCAUAGAGCUAGGUGAAGAAGCCAAAAAAGAAGACCGCAA